rnacentral:rRNA from 1 species
AGAAUCAACGCUGGCGGCGUGCCUAACACAUGCAAGUCGAACGAGAAAGUGGAGCAAUCCAUGAGUAAAGUGGCGCACGGGUGAGUAACACGUGACUAACCUACCCUUGAGUGGGGGAUAACCUAGGGAACCUGGGCUAAUACCGCAUAAUACCUUCGGGUCAAAGGAGCAAUUCGCUUAAGGAGGGGGUCGCGGCCGAUUAGUUAGUUGGCGGGGUAAUGGCCCACCAAGACUAUGAUCGGUAU